CAUAUAAGACAUUUUAGGUUUUUACUUGCAACGUUUGACCACUUGUUUUAUUUAAAUUUUUUUUGAAAUUAUUAAUUAUUUUAUUUGUAACUUACUAUCUACCGUACUUUAAGCACAACUUUUCGUUAUUUAUAUUUGUAAAAAAAAUUUAAAUAAGACGAGCAGUCAAACGUUACAAGCAAAAACUGAAAAUCCCUUAUA
rnacentral:pre_miRNA from 1 species